GAGCUCACUUUGACAACACAUAUAUUAAAAUUAAAAUGAUACAGAGACUAUUAACACACCCCUGCACAAAGAUGACACACAAAUUUGUGAACCAUUCCAUAUUUUU